UUUGCUUCUUGUUAUAAUCUGCCAGUCUUUGGGCGGCAGCAGCUGUCAUGGGACCGGGUGGGCGGGGAGAGGCUUGCAAGCUGACUCUUGCGGUGAAAUGCGUCUUGGAGGGGACACAGCUACCGAGACAUUCAUCUCCGGGAGGACUCCGGGUGGCGACUUCAGGCUGGCGGCUGGGACGGCGUGGCGUGGCGGUGUCGCGGAAAGGAAUCUUGUUACCAACCGGGGAAGGCCGGACCUAGCCCACAGCAGACGCCGCUGCGUCAGGGAGCCGCGGGGCGCGUGGUCCGUGGCAGGCGAGCUCGGGCAGAGGAUCUUCUGGUGAUCUUUGCCGGUCCAACUUGGGAAAUGUAAUUGAUAGGAUGAGCUUUGCAGCCACCCGUAGAAGGCUCAUGGAACCCAGCCAGAGGACGACCUGGGCGGGCCGUUGUGCGCCGCCUCAUUUUACAGUUGGGGAAAGGGAUGUGAGGGGUGAGCCUGUACGGGACCACGCAGCCAGCGGGUGACAGAGCCACCCAGGGCUCCUGACUCCAGGUCCUGUGUGUUACCUUGAAAUAGCACUGGACUUGGAGUCAGAAGGCCUGAGUGGAGUCACCUUCCCCACUCUCUGGCUGGGUGACCUCGGAGCAAGCCGUUUUAACUCUCACAGCUGCCUUUUCUUCCUUCUGUCAAAUGGGGCUGGUGGUACCCGGAGGAGAAUCCAAUGGCCUGGUGGGCCAGGGUGAGCAGUGUUUGCAUGUGAGAUGUCUAAUCCCUCCCCUCCUUCACUUCUCUCUUUGUGAACUUUGGGGGAAAGUGGAUAAAAUGGUAAUUCACUGUCUUUGUUCAAAAGAUUUUUGUUUUCAUUGGCUAAUCCGGGGUUAGAUUAGAGGGAGAAUUUCUGUUUAGGAGACUUAACUUUUACCCAUUGGGGCUGAAGUACAGAAAUUAAGCAGAACAAGGAUUGUGAAAGUUACUUGGAAAGGUUUGAGUCAUGAAUCCUAAAGGACAUUGGGUGGUUUUACCCUUCCUCGGGCUGUGCCUGACGCUAGUGCCCUCGCCCACCCAUCCUGCAUGGCCUUCUCUAGUAGGCAACACCUCAGCUUGCCCUGCUUUCUCUGCUCUGAUUUUCUUUGUGUUAUACAAUCAAGCACUUUAUGCGUGAGUUUGGUGUCCAGUAAGAUUCUAGAGCUAGAGUUGUGCCUUUUAUCUCUUUGUGCUCACAUGGUACCUGUCAGCAUGCUGAGCUGUGUUCCUUUGCUCAGCUCUUGGCUAGGCACUUGGAGGGGUACAGCUGGGGCCUGCUAAGCAGAACCUCCCAGACUGGCAGGGGAGACAGCUGGGCAGCAAGUGUGGGGAAAGUGGAAUGCAGAGGGCUGCAGCUGUGAGCAAAAGCUGAGGCUCCAAAGGCCACACAAGUAAGCCCACACUAAAUAUGGGCCUUUCAAAGUUGCUAGGGGCAUCAGUCAUAGAUGCCUAAAAUGUCAGAGUUGGCAGGGACUUUAGAAAUCACCUGUUCCAACCCCUCAUCACUUAAAAAUAUUAAUUAUAGAAUUGUUAGAAAAUACUGCCAAGCAUAAAGAGAAAAAUUAGAAAUAUGUACUAAUGAUCCAAAGAUAACCACUAUUAAUUUAUUUCUUUUUUCUUUCCUGUUCAUAUGGAUAACAUCUUUUU